CGUGCUUAACACAUGCAAGUGGAGCGACGAACCGGGGCUUGCCCCGGGGCAGAGCCGCGAACGGGUGAGUAACACGUGGGUUACCUGCCUUGAAUGACCGGGACAACCCGAGGAAACUCGGGCUAAUACCGGAUGUGCCCGCAAGGGGAAAGGAAGCUUCGGCCUCCGCAUCAAGAUGGGCCCGCGGCCCAUUAGCUUGUUGGUGAGGUAACGGCUCACCAAGGCUUCGAUGGGUAGCUGGUCUGAGAGGACGAUCAGCCACACUGGGACUGAGACACGGCCCAGACUCCUACGGGAGGCUGCAGUCGAGGAUCUUCGGCAAUGGGCGCAAGCCUGACCGAGCGACGCCGCGUGUGCGAUGAAGGCCUUCGGGUUGUAAAGCACUGUCGAGAGAAAGAAAGUCGUAAGAUUGAUCGAUCUCUGGAGAAGCACGGGCUAAGUUCGUGCCAGCAGCCGCGGUAAU
rnacentral:rRNA from 1 species